UUCUAUCUCGGCGAGUCGGUGCGCAAC
rnacentral:piRNA from 1 species